UUAAGUUUACUUGCCACUCAUAUUCAAUGAACAGGUAAUUAACCACGUUCAUAGAAGAAAAGAAAAGCUGAGGUUGUUCUCUCCCAUCUUCAUUCAAAGAUGAGAAAGAGAAGCUAGAAGGCGAUGGUCUCAGGCGCUUUAGGUCCGGUGAGAAGGGGAGCUGCAACGGAGGCUAGGGUUUCGAGCAGGGGUUUACGCGCCGCCACCGCUUCAGCUCGGCCAGAUUUCCGAGGACUUGAAAGCUUACAGCGACAAUGAUUCUUAAUGGCCUCUCCUAUGGCCAUCAAAGGCCCUUGUCCUUUGGGUCAGACCAGUGGUGGUGGAUGACGGUUCCACCGUGACCGUGUGAUGGCGGUGGUAGGCUGGUACGAUUGGGGUUCUAGGGUUGCUAUGGCAACCUCAGAUACUUGAAUUGGUGCUCCGGGGAAGUCGGCUAGGUUUACAGCGUGAAUUCCGAGUGAUAUUGAAGAUUGAGUUUGUGUGACUUUUGUAUAAACACACGUUUCAAUAGAAGAUGAUGGGACUAAACCUGAAUCGAAACCAUCACAUAUAUCUCAAAGCUUGAAGGAGAGAAAGACAAAGGGAAGAUAGAUUUGUGGCAUAGAUAGGAGGUAGCAUGUCCUUUUUCAGCAAAAUCGCAAAGGGGUAGGUUAACUUUCAUACUUAAUAUUGUAAAGAUGAGUUUGAGUUCGUGUUUUGUAAUUGUAACUCAAUUUUUCCAUUUCACGCUAGGGUUUUAGUUCUUAGAAAUGGUUUAAUUUCAUCUUAUUUGAACCCUAAUUUUACUGAUGGUUGUAGAAUUAGGUCAGUUAACUUUAAUCUGUUUUACAAUUUCGUUUCUUUAGUAUAAACUAUUGAAUGUCAAUAAUGUUUUUAGUUAUCUUUGAAGGUGUAUAAUGCAUAUAUGCCAUGAACCUAAAUCUCGAGGUGUUAAUUGUGUACAUUGGGUCAUAUCAAGGUAUGAUAUUUGGUGCUUUUGUCUUCUUUCGCCAUACCCCUUCUGAUAAUAUGUGUGUGUAAUCCGCAUCAAUGUAUGUGAGGGUUGAUUUUGAGAUAUGUAUUAUUUGCGGGGGAGUUACUUUUUUAAUCUAAAAUGUUCGUUGUUCCACACCAAUGGAACACCAUAAUCCUUUAGUGGCUAAUUUUGUCACUGAAUCACCACUUUUAACUGGAGUAAAUGUGUAUUAUAAUUCUUUUAUUCAGUACCAAAGUAGGCUUGAAAAUAAUGGGAACUUCUCUUCACUGAUGGAACAUUGUAUUGCAAGGUCAGUCAACAUACGCGGAUGUUCAAAAUUGUUGGGCCAUUCACAAUUGCAGAUUACUCAAGGUUAUAAUGCAGGGUUUUAUCCGUCUUUCAUCACCAUCCAGAUGAUAAAAUUGCUAUCAAUGAGAGAUAUUGGCAACCCAAAUCCAAGAAAAAGUACCUUUAUCUCUAUCCUAGCCAUAGAUACGCAGCAUGUUCGUUCUUCUAAAUCAGAUAUUAGAGAUGUAUAGGUAGAUGAUCAAGUCAAUUUGACCCCAUACGCUAAGAAAAGUAGAGGUCAAACUCCAGGUAUGGGGUCAAACAUUUUAGAUGACUGGAAGCCGAUGGAUGGUUCGAAGAUGAUAAAGAGCCUCCCAAAGGUUCAGAGGGUGGUGGAUGUGAAUGUGGUUAAGUGGAGCGACGACCGUGUUUAUGGAUUGACUAGGGUUCAUGUGAAGUUCCGACUUUUCUUCCGAUUGAAGUUCCGGAAAAAGAGGUGUCAUCAGCUGAACAUAACUCCUUUGGUUAGUGUUCUUUCUUCUUGAACAAUUAAGGUAUACUUUCUAUUUGCAUAUAAUGUUUUGUGACUUCAAUCUUGCUUAAAUCGUUCGGUUUUAAACCACAGGAAAAUUACAUAGUAACCCUUACAUUUAGAUUUACUUUAAUUAUAUGACAUUCUCUUAACCUUAGCAAUGUGCAUACGACUUCUAAACAAGAACAAUGCAGCAGCCCUAACAUACGAACCAAAGUCUACAAAAUGUCACACACUGGUAUGUUUCUUCUUUACUUAUAUCAUUUUUAUUUCAGUUGUCUUCUUUAUUGUUGCCUCUCAUAAGACAGAAGUGGUAGAAGCAUACUCUAUUUGUUUAUAAUCUGUGUAAAAAAUCAAUUGUAAUUAUCUAAUGUGUUUUUUGUAUAACACUGGUGUGAGACACUUAUUAGAAACUUCUUUUAUUAUAGAUUUAUGGUAUAGCCAGUUCAAGUUUUUCAGCACCAUUGACGUGGGAAUGGCUCCAGGAACUCAUUUUGUUAAAGCAUGUAUUCUUUAGAAUCUUCAAGUUCAAAAUCUAUAAAAUUUUACAAACAGAUUAUAAAUCAACUUAAUACAAAUUUAGCUCCGGAUAGUAAUAGUUCAAGCUGAACAACUCAAAGCUUUGACUUCAAAGUCAAAAUGAUUUACAUGCAGAAACCACCCGCUAUCACCAUACUACCAAAUUCACUUGAAAGAUUAAUGAUUUACAAGAACCUGAACUAUUGACCCCUUUUCAACAGUGGGUAGUGAUGUAUGAAUCACUUGGCUAAUCUAUUAUCUUGAAUAAUAAGAACAAGAUCUUGACAGGCUGGGACUUGGUAGGCGGGUCAAACAUUAGGUAGAAGAUCUUGAUAGGCUGGGACUUGGGGUCAACAUGUGCAAUUUAUACUUUCAUAUUGAAAUGAGUCUGGAUGGGCAUUAUUGUA